AUUCCUGUACUGGUUUUGCUUGGAUUAAAGGUAGCUGAAAAAGAUGGCCAACAUGUCUGGCGGCUGAAGAACUUCAACAGGCCCACAUAUUGCUUUGUCUCUCAGAACAUGAUGUAGGGCCUAAGAAAACAGGGCUUGUCAUGCAACUUUUGCAAAUACACCAUCCACAGCAGCUGUGCCAACAAAAAC